CCUACGGGAUGCUGCAGUGGGGAAUAUUGGGCCAUGGGCGCAAGCCUGACCCAGCAACGCCGCGUGCAGUCAGAAGGCUUUCGGGUUGUAAACUUCUUUUCUCAGGGACGAAGCAAGUGACGGUACCUGAUGAAUAAGCCACGGCUACCUACGUGCCAGCAGCCGCGGUAAUACGUAGGUGGCAAACGUUAUCCGGAUUUACUGGGUGUACAGGGCGUGUAGGCGGGAAAGCAAGUCAGAUGUGAAAACCAUGGGCUCAACCGGUGGCCUGCAUUUGAAACUGGUUGUCUUGAGUACGGGAGAGGCAGACGGAAUUCCUAGUGUAGCGGUGAAAUGCGUAGAUAUUAGGAGGAACACCAGUGGCGAAGGCGGUCUGCUGGACAGCAACUGACGCUGAGGCGCGAAAGCGUGGGGAGCAAACAGGAUUAGAUACCCCGGUAGUC
rnacentral:rRNA from 1 species